rfam:Prunus persica cultivar Lovell chromosome G4, whole genome shotgun sequence.
CGGCUGUAGCUAAAUCGAUUUCAUGAGAUGUUUACUGGCCGGUCGUUGUGUUCUGUCGACAGAUCUGCUUACCGAGCUUCUCACAUUU